rnacentral:rRNA from 1 species
GACGAAGGGGGCUAGCGUUGUUCGGAAUUACUGGGCGUAAAGCGAGUGUAGGUGGUUGUCCAAGUUGGAUGUGAAAGCCUUGGGCUCAACUCAAGAAAUGCAUUCAGGACUGGAUGGCUAGAGGACCGGAGAGGGAUAGUGGAAUUCCCAGUGUAGUGGUGAAAUGACGUAGAGAGUUGGGAAGAACACCGAGUGGCGAAG